GCCGGCUCUGCUCAGGUGUGGUUGCCGGGGGCCUUACCGCUGGGCCCCGUGCUUGGACUCGCCGCUCGGGCGGUGCUCGCGUCGAAGGAGGCGGCUGGAAUCGCAGGGAGGCUGUCGGGUCUUGGGGUGGCCGAGGGGGCGGGGAAGUAUUGCGGGUGUUCUGCGGAGAUUGUGCAGGUCGCAGUUUACUUGAGCUGGAAAAAGAAAUCGGCCCCUUGUGAGGCGAUUUCGGAGGGGAAGGCAUCGUGUUCGCCAAAGGUGGAGGGCCAUUUCUGUCCUUAAGAGGAAAAAAACAGGCAUAACUGAUUUGGAAUCGGGAAAUGACACCAAAUUAUUUAGGGUGGUUAAAACACAAAGGGGUUGCAAAGAGCUCCAAAAGGAUCCCUUGGAGUUGUGUGAAUCGACAUCUCACUGUAAAUGCAGUUCGAUGGAAGCAAGUGUAAAAUAAUGCAUCUUGGGGCAAAAUAAAAGUAAAAAUCCAAA